GGCGAAGAUCCGACCGUUGGAUCUUCGUAUAAUUGUGAAUUAGUGAUUCGGAAGGCUAUUCGUGAGAAUCCGACCGUCGGAUUUUCAUGAAAUUUUGUGGAGAUGUUUAUAAGGACGAUUCAGGAAGAUCUGACCGUUGGAUCUUCGUGAUAAUUUUGGGGGAUGAUCCUAAGGGCGAUCCGUGAGGAUCCGACCGUUGGAUCAUCAUAUAAUUUCGAUCCGACCGUUGGAUCAUCGUUUAAUUUUGUUUAUGAGUUGUUGGCUAAGUUAUGAUCAUAUUGGAUUUAGGUGAUUGACGGUC
rnacentral:lncRNA from 1 species